rnacentral:rRNA from 1 species
GACGAACGCUGGCGGCGUGCUUAACACAUGCAAGUCGAACGGAAAGGCCCUGCUUUUGUGGGGUGCUCGAGUGGCGAACGGGUGAGUAACACGUGAGUAACCUGCCCUUGACUUUGGUAUAACUUCAGGAAACUGGGGCUAAUACCGGAUAGGAGCUCCUGCUGCAUGGUGGGGGUUGGAAAGUUUCGGCGGGUGGGGAUGGACUCGCGGCUUAUCAGCUUGUGGGUGGGGGAGUGGCUUACCAAGGCUUUGACGGGCAGCCGGCCUGAGGGGGUGACCGGCCAAAUUGGGAUUGAGAUACGGCCCAGACUCCUCCGGGAGGCAGCAGUGGGGAAUAUUGCCCAAUGGGCGGAACCCUGAUGCAGCAACGCCGCGUGCGGGAUGACGCCCUUCGGGUUGUAAACCGCUUUCGCCUGUGACGAAGCGUGAGUGACGGUAAUUGGUAAAGAAGCACCGGCUAACUACGUG